CCAAAUCUGUGCCCCUACCUGGCCCCCCCAACAAAAAUUUUCUAGACACGCCACUGCUUAUUCCUCCCAACAAGGUGAAGUGUUUGCUAUGUGCCAGGGAGCUGGGAUAUAACAACAACACCUCAUCCAUGCUUAGGCACUACAGAGCUUUGCAUGAGAAUAAGGGGAACACCGAUUGUGGAGCAAGACCAGGAGAACAAUCUCAAAUAGAUGAAGACCUGGUUAGCAUGGUGAUUGAGGACCCCCAGCCAUUUACCACUGUGGAGGACAAAGGAUUUAAAAGAUUUGUUAAAUCAUUAAAUCCUAGCUAUGUUCUCCCCACUAAAAAGGUCAUAAAAGCAGUGAAAAUUUAGUUUUUACAGAAUAAAAUGU